GGGUUGUGAGGUUAAGCGACUAAGCGUACACGGUGGAUGCCCUGGCAGUCAGAGGCGAUGAAGGGCGUGCUAAUCUGCGAUAAGCGCCGGUAAGGUGAUAUGAACCGUUAUAACCGGCGAUACCCGAAUGGGGAAACCCAGUGUGACUCGUCACACUAUCAUUAACUGAAUCCAUAGGUUAAUGAGGCGAACCGGGGGAACUGAAACAUCUAAGUACCCCGAGGAAAAGAAAUCAACCGAGAUUCCCCCAGUAGCGGCGAGCGAACGGGGAGGAGCCCAGAGCCUGAAUCAGCAUGUGUGUUAGUGGAAGCGUCUGGAAAGGCGCGCGAUACAGGGUGACAGCCCCGUACACAAAAGCGCAUGUGCUGUGAGCUCGAUGAGUAGGGCGGGACACGUGGUAUCCUGUCUGAAUAUGGGGGGACCAUCCUCCAAGGCUAAAUACUCCUGACUGACCGAUAGUGAACCAGUACCGUGAGGGAAAGGCGAAAAGAACCCCGGCGAGGGGAGUGAAAAAGAACCUGAAACCGUGUACGUACAAGCAGUGGGAGCNNGGGCGUUAAGUUGCAGGGUAUAGACCCGAAACCCGGUGAUCUAGCCAUGGGCAGGUUGAAGGUUGGGUAACACUAACUGGAGGACCGAACCGACUAAUGUUGAAAAAUUAGCGGAUGACCUGUGGCUGGGGGUGAAAGGCCAAUCAAACCGGGAGAUAGCUGGUUCUCCCCGAAAGCUAUUUAGGUAGCGCCUCGUGAAUUCAUCUCCGGGGGUAGAGCACUGUUUCGGCUAGGGGGCCAUCCCGGCUUACCAACCCGAUGCAAACUGCGAAUACCGGAGAAUGUUAUCACGGGAGACACACGGCGGGUGCUAACGUCCGUCGUGAAGAGGGAAACAACCCAGACCGCCAGCUAAGGUCCCAAAGUCAUGGUUAAGUGGGAAACGAUGUGGGAAGGCCCAGACAGCCAGGAUGUUGGCUUAGAAGCAGCCAUCAUUUAAAGAAAGCGUAAUAGCUCACUGGUCGAGUCGGCCUGCGCGGAAGAUGUAACGGGGCUAAACCAUGCACCGAAGCUGCGGCAGCGACGCUGAUGCGUUGUUGGGUAGGGGAGCGUUCUGUAAGCCUGCGAAGGUGGCCUGUGAGGGUUGCUGGAGGUAUCAGAAGUGCGAAUGCUGACAUAAGUAACGAUAAAGCGGGUGAAAAGCCCGCUCGCCGGAAGACCAAGGGUUCCUGUCCAACGUUAAUCGGGGCAGGGUGAGUCGACCCCUAAGGCGAGGCCGAAAGGCGUAGUCGAUGGGAAACGGGUUAAUAUUCCCGUACUUGGUGUUACUGCGAAGGGGGGACGGAGAAGGCUAUGUUGGCCGGGCGACGGUUGUCCCGGUUUAAGCGUGUAGGUGUGUGUUCCAGGUAAAUCCGGUUCACUUUAACACUGAGGCGUGAUGACGAGGCACUACGGUGCUGAAGCAACAAAUGCCCUGCUUCCAGGAAAAGCCUCUAAGCAUCAGGUAACAUCAAAUCGUACCCCAAACCGACACAGGUGGUCAGGUAGAGAAUACCAAGGCGCUUGAGAGAACUCGGGUGAAGGAACUAGGCAAAAUGGUGCCGUAACUUCGGGAGAAGGCACGCUGACACGUAGGUGAAGUGAUUUACUCAUGGAGCUGAAGUCAGUCGAAGAUACCAGCUGGCUGCAACUGUUUAUUAAAAACACAGCACUGUGCAAACACGAAAGUGGACGUAUACGGUGUGACGCCUGCCCGGUGCCGGAAGGUUAAUUGAUGGGGUCAGCGCAAGCGAAGCUCCUGAUCGAAGCCCCGGUAAACGGCGGCCGUAACUAUAACGGUCCUAAGGUAGCGAAAUUCCUUGUCGGGUAAGUUCCGACCUGCACGAAUGGCGUAAUGAUGGCCAGGCUGUCUCCACCCGAGACUCAGUGAAAUUGAACUCGCUGUGAAGAUGCAGUGUACCCGCGGCAAGACGGAAAGACCCCGUGAACCUUUACUAUAGCUUGACACUGAACAUUGAGCCUUGAUGUGUAGGAUAGGUGGGAGGCUUUGAAGUGUGGACGCCAGUCUGCAUGGAGCCGGCCUUGAAAUACCACCCUUUAAUGUUUGAUGUUCUAACGUGGACCCGUGAUCCGGGUUGCGGACAGUGUCUGGUGGGUAGUUUGACUGGGGCGGUCUCCUCCUAAAGAGUAACGGAGGAGCACGAAGGUUGGCUAAUCCUGGUCGGACAUCAGGAGGUUAGUGCAAUGGCAUAAGCCAGCUUGACUGCGAGCGUGACGGCGCGAGCAGGUGCGAAAGCAGGUCAUAGUGAUCCGGUGGUUCUGAAUGGAAGGGCCAUCGCUCAACGGAUAAAAGGUACUCCGGGGAUAACAGGCUGAUACCGCCCAAGAGUUCAUAUCGACGGCGGUGUUUGGCACCUCGAUGUCGGCUCAUCACAUCCUGGGGCUGAAGUAGGUCCCAAGGGUAUGGCUGUUCGCCAUUUAAAGUGGUACGCGAGCUGGGUUUAGAACGUCGUGAGACAGUUCGGUCCCUAUCUGCCGUGGGCGCUGGAGAACUGAGGGGGGCUGCUCCUAGUACGAGAGGACCGGAGUGGACGCAUCACUGGUGUUCGGGUUGUCAUGCCAAUGGCACUGCCCGGUAGCUAAAUGCGGAAGAGAUAAGUGCUGAAAGCAUCUAAGCACGAAACUUGCCCCGAGAUGAGUUCUCCCUGAGACUUACAGUCUCCUGAAGGAACGUUGAAGACGACGACGUUGAUAGGCCGGGUGGGUAAGCGCAGCGAUGCGUUGAGCUAACCGGUACUAAUGAACCG
rnacentral:rRNA from 1 species